UUCCUGUACUUGGUGUUACUGCGAAGGGGGGACGGAGAAGGCUAUGUUGGCCGGGCGACGGUUGUCCCGGUUUAAGCGUGUAGGCUGGUUUUCCAGGCAAAUCCGGAAAAUCAAGGCUGAGGCGUGAUGACGAGGCACUGCGGUGCUGAAGCAACAAAUGCCCUGCUUCCAGGAAAAGCCUCUAAGCAUCAGGUAACAUCAAAUCGUACCCCAAACCGACACAGGUGGUCAGGUAGAGAAUACCAAGGCGCUUGAGAGAACUCGGGUGAAGGAACUAGGCAAAAUGGUGCCGUAACUUCGGGAGAAGGCACGCUGAUAUGUAGGUGAAGUCCCUCGCGGAUGGAGCUGAAAUCAGUCGAAGAUACCAGCUGGCUGCAACUGUUUAUUAAAAACACAGCACUGUGCAAACACGAAAGUGGACGUAUACGGUGUGACGCCUGCCCGGUGCCGGAAGGUUAAUUGAUGGGGUUAGCGCAAGCGAAGCUCUUGAUCGAAGCCCCGGUAAACGGCGGCCGUAACUAUAACGGUCCUAAGGUAGCGAAAUUCCUUGUCGGGUAAGUUCCGACCUGCACGAAUGGCGUAAUGAUGGCCAGGCUGUCUCCACCCGAGACUCAGUGAAAUUGAACUCGCUGUGAAGAUGCAGUGUACCCGCGGCAAGACGGAAAGACCCCGUGAACCUUUACUAUAGCUUGACACUGAACAUUGAGCCUUGAUGUGUAGGAUAGGUGGGAGGCUUUGAAGUGUGGACGCCAGUCUGCAUGGAGCCGACCUUGAAAUACCACCCUUUAAUGUUUGAUGUUCUAACGUUGACCCGUAAUCCGGGUUGCGGACAGUGUCUGGUGGGUAGUUUGACUGGGGCGGUCUCCUCCUAAAGAGUAACGGAGGAGCACGAAGGUUGGCUAAUCCUGGUCGGACAUCAGGAGGUUAGUGCAAUGGCAUAAGCCAGCUUGACUGCGAGCGUGACGGCGCGAGCAGGUGCGAAAGCAGGUCAUAGUGAUCCGGUGGUUCUGAAUGGAAGGGCCAUCGCUCAACGGAUAAAAGGUACUCCGGGGAUAACAGGCUGAUACCGCCCAAGAGUUCAUAUCGACGGCGGUGUUUGGCACCUCGAUGUCGGCUCAUCACAUCCUGGGGCUGAAGUAGGUCCCAAGGGUAUGGCUGUUCGCCAUUUAAAGUGGUACGCGAGCUGGGUUUAGAACGUCGUGAGACAGUUCGGUCCCUAUCUGCCGUGGGCGCUGGAGAACUGAGGGGGGCUGCUCCUAGUACGAGAGGACCGGAGUGGACGCAUCACUGGUGUUCGGGUUGUCAUGCCAAUGGCACUGCCCGGUAGCUAAAUGCGGAAGAGAUAAGUGCUGAAAGCAUCUAAGCACGAAACUUGCCCCGAGAUGAGUUCUCCCUGACUCCUUGAGAGUCCUGAAGGAACGUUGAAGACGACGACGUUGAUAGGCCGGGUGUGUAAGCGCAGCGAUGCGUUGAGCUAACCGGUACUAAUGAACCGUGAGG
rnacentral:rRNA from 1 species